rnacentral:rRNA from 1 species
GAUGAACGCUGGCGGCGUGCCUAAUACAUGCAAGUCGAGCGAAUGGAUUAAGAGCUUGCUCUUAUGAAGUUAGCGGCGGACGGGUGAGUAACACGUGGGUAACCUGCCCAUAAGACUGGGAUAACUCCGGGAAACCGGGGCUAAUACCGGAUAACAUUUUGAACCGCAUGGUUCGAAAUUGAAAGGCGGCUUCGGCUGUCACUUAUGGAUGGACCCGCGUCGCACUCGCUAGUUGGUGAGGUAACGGCUCACCAAGGCAACGAUGCGUAGCCGACCUGAGAGGGUGAUCGGCCACACUGGGACUGAGACACGGCCCAGACUCCUACGGGAGGCAGCAGUAGGGAAUCUUCCGCAAUGGACGAAAGUCUGACGGAGCAACGCCGCGUGAGUGAUGAAGGCUUUCGGGUCGUAAAACUCUGUUGUUAGGGAAGAACAAGUGCUAGUUGAAUAAGCUGACACCUUGACGGUACCUAACCAGAAAGCCACGGCUAACUACGUGCCAGCAGCCGCAGUAA